CAGGUUUGAGUUGAGCGCAGCGAAACAACGGAGCCGCUCGCGGCAACGGCCCGUAGGGCAAGCGAAGCGAGUCAUCCUGCACGACCCACCA
rnacentral:sRNA from 1 species